rnacentral:rRNA from 1 species
UACGUAGGGUGCGAGCGUUGUCCGGAAUUAUUGGGCGUAAAGAGCUCGUAGGCGGUUUGUCACGUCUGCUGUGAAAUCCCGAGGCUCAACCUCGGGCCUGCAGUGGGUACGGGCAGACUGGAGUGCGGUAGGGGAGAAUGGAAUUCCUGGUGUAGCGGUGGAAUGCGCAGAUAUCAGGAGGAACACCGGUGGCGAAGGCGGCAUCCUGGACCGGCAUUGACGCUGAGGCGCGAAAGCCAGGGGAGCAAACGGG